rnacentral:lncRNA from 1 species
CCUACUCUAGGAUCUAUAAUAUGAUAUAUUGCAUAUAAAAUCUGAAAUAAUCACAUAAUAAAAUCUGUAUGCAUGGAUGUAAGCAGUAGAUCACAUCUAUUUCUAAUCUGAGUUCAGAACUCGAUAUCUGAGCACAAGUCGAUGAUCGCCACCAUUGAGAGAUAUAGUAAGAAUGAUCUUUGCUGGUUGCUUGCAGCCGCACAUGCGUUUGGUCUC